UACAGAGGGUGCGAGCGUUGUUCGGAAUCAUUGGGCGUAAAGAGCGUGUAGGCGGCCAGGUAGGUCUGCUGUGAAAACUCGAGGCUCAACCUCGAGACGUCGGCGGAAACCAUCUGGCUAGAGUCCGGAAGAGGAGAGUGGAAUUCCUGGUGUAGCGGUGAAAUGCGCAGAUAUCAGGAAGAACACCCGUGGCGAAGGCGGCUCUCUGGGACGGUACUGACGCUGAGACGCGAAAGCGUGGGGGGCGAACAGG
rnacentral:rRNA from 1 species